rnacentral:rRNA from 1 species
GACGAACGCUGGCGGCGCGCCUACCUCAUGCAAGUCGAACGAGAGAAGAAAAGCUUGCUUUUCUGAUCGAGGGGCGAACGGGUGAGUAACGCGUGAGGAACCUGCCUCAAAGAGGGGGACAACAGUUGGAAACGACUGCUAAUACCGCAUAAGCCCACGGCUCGGCAUCGAGCAAAGGGAAAAGGAGCAAUCCGCUUUGAGAUGGCCUCGCGUCCAAUUAGCUAGUUGGGGAGGUAAGGGCCCACCAAGGCGACAAUCGGUAGCCGGACUGAGAGGUUGAACGGCCACAUUGGGACUGAGACACGGCCCAAACUCCUACGGGAGGCAGCAGUGGGGAAUAUUGCACAAUGGGGGAAACCCUGAUGCACCGACGCCGCGUGGAGGAAGAAGGUCUUCGGAUUGUAAACUCCUGUUGUUGAGGAAGAUAAUGACGGUACUCAACAAGGAAGUGACGGCUAACUACGUG